rnacentral:lncRNA from 1 species
AUACAAAACACUUCAAAUAAUAAUAUAAUAAUGUAUAGGAUGUUAGAUGACCAUAAUAACAAAUGUCUGCAAAGGAAGAAUAAAACUAGCAAAAGGAAAAAGAGGCACUAGACUACUAGACUGCUAGAUGGAAACAUGUAAGGCAUCUAUAUUUUACUUCUCUGAUUUGGACAGAGAUGAAGUCAAGCCAUGAGACUUCAAACACGCUCCCGAAUGUACAUGCGAAAUAAGAAAAGAAAAAAGAGAUUAGAGGCAAUUCAAAAUUUCACGAUAUGGGAUAAAGAAAGACCAAGCAACUAUAGGACCAAAUGAAGUUGUACAAUGAAUUUUAUCAUCCAAAAAAAAUAUAAAAAAAAUGGGCGAAUACCGGCUGAGAUACCACAUUUGCAAUCGACGACAAACUAAGAAAACUAAUUUGUAAUAAAAAAUUCGUAUAAGACAUUUCCAAAUUAUGUGAAAUUGCUCCUUUGAAGCAUAACACUACAAAUAACCAUUCUAGAACUUAUAGGGGAUCAAUUUAGAAAAUAUUUAAAAGACAAUUAUUUUCACAUGUUAAAAUUCAAAAUGCUGCUAAGAUAUAAGAUCACCAAGCAUAUGUCAAUUCUUAACUAGUUUGGAUCAAACAGAAAGACUCUACAUGUAACCUUCCCUAUAUUAAAUAAAUCAGUAGCUUUCUUAGUGUUCACGUAUAAGACUCAUAUGGAUAAGAAAAGGAAUCAAAUUUAAGAAUUCACUCCAUCAAAUUGUAGAUAUGCCAACAAUCUAUUCUUCACGCAGAUUAUGAAAUAAAGCAUAAUACUAAAUAUUGGGUCUCAAAAAAAACUUUCUGGGGUGAGGUCUACGUACACUUUACCCUUCCCACAUUCCGCUUUGUGGGACGAAGUCAAAAACAUACUCCUUUAAUCUUUGAUUAGUUAAAAUCCGGAAGAAGAAAAGAACUUAAGUGAACAAACUAUAGUUUAAGGAAGAAAACUUAAAAUCUUAUAUUGGAUAUGCAUAUAUAGAAACGGCAUGACCAUAGCUCCCAUUUUUAGUGGAAAAAAAAAAGAACAUAGAAUUGCUUUGAAAUAAAAAAUCAAGCAAGACAAGAAGCAUUCUCGGUUGACAUAUUGUAUAUCUAAGAAAGUAAGCACUACGGGUCACAUACCCAGGCUACACAUGCUUCAUUGUCCUAGAAGAAAUAUUGCCACUAAAGUAUAUGUUUCAUCCUCACCUUUUGCUAAAGUAAUUGGUAAUGUGUAAGAUUGAUUACUUUCAAUUUUUUUUUAAAAAAAAACAAACACACAGCUGUGAAUUUCUUAGUUUAUGAAAUACAAA